rnacentral:tRNA from 2 species
CACUAAGAAGCUAAAUAAGGAACAGCAUUAGCCUUUUAAGCUAAAGAUUGGUGACUACCGACCACCCCUAGUGA